UACGUAGGUCCCGAGCGUUGUCCGGAUUUAUUGGGCGUAAAGCGAGCGCAGGUGGUCUAUUAAGUCUGGUGUAAAAGGCAGUGGCUCAACCAUUGUAUGCAUUGGAAACUGGUAGACUUGAGUGCAGAAGAGGAGAGUGGAACUCCAUGUGUAGCGGUGAAAUGCGUAGAUAUAUGGAAGAACACCAGUGGCGAAAGCGGCUCUCUGGUCUGUAACUGACGCUGAGGUUCGAAAGCGUGGGUAGCAAACAGG
rnacentral:rRNA from 1 species